rnacentral:rRNA from 1 species
UAGGGAAUCUUCCACAAUGGACGCAAGUCUGAUGGAGCAACGCCGCGUGAGUGAAGAAGGUUUUCGGAUCGUAAAGCUCUGUUGUUGGUGAAGAAGGAUAGAGGUAGUAACUGGCCUUUAUUUGACGGUAAUCAACCAGAAAGUCACGGCUAACUACGUGCCAGCAGCCGCGGUAAUACGUAGGUGGCAAGCGUUGUCCGGAUUUAUUGGGCGUAAAGCGAGCGCAGGCGGAAGAAUAAGUCUGAUGUGAAAGCCCUCGGCUUAACCGAGGAAUUGCAUCGGAAACUGUUUUCUUGAGUGCAGAAGAGGAGAGUGGAACUCCAUGUGUAGCGGUGGAAUGCGUAGAUAUAUGGAAGAACACCAGUGGCGAAGGCGGCUCUCUGGUCUGCAACUGACGCUGAGGCUCGAAAGCAUGGGUAGCGAACAGGAUUAGAUACCCUGGUAGUCCAUGCCGUAAACGAUGAGUGCUAAGUGUUGGGAGGUUUCCGCCUCUCAGUGCUGCAGCUAACGCAUUAAGCACUCCGCCUGGGGGAGUACGACCGCAAGGUUGAAC